rfam:Canis lupus familiaris chromosome 1, whole genome shotgun sequence.
AGGAGGAACAGCCCCAGUGGCGGGGCCAGCUCUGGAAACCUGGAUUCAGCUCCGGCAGGAACUCCGUCUGCAGGGCCUGGAGGCUCCGGGGCGGG